rnacentral:lncRNA from 1 species
UGUUACAAUUAAAGAAUGUGCUAGAGACUAGUAAGACCCUCAAUAAAAUUAUAUUAAGUCAUAGUGUUGAAAAACUUUGAGCUAACCCAUUCUAGAACAAUUAAUCUAAUUGGUGUCUAAAGAAAGCACUAAAGGUGGUUACUUAAUUAGGAACUUACUCUCUGAGUAAGGGGAGCCUCCCACCUGCUUACCUGGCCAAUUAUUUGAUUGCCUAUUAUGGAUAAGCUUAAUAUUGAUAUAACACUAUUGAUAGCCUUCCUUCAUGCCUCGAUAUUAUUAUGUCAAGAUCCAUGCUAGUUUGUUGUGCUAACACAAAACUUGCAAUGGGGACUGAUGUUAUACUGUCUUGGUGCAUUAAGAUGCUUAUGGCAUAUUUUAAUAUAUUGCCUUGUUGUGCAACCACAAGGACAAUAUUAUUCGAAUAUGACUAUAUGAAAAUGAAGGGUUUGACUUAACUAAAAUAUUAUUGUUUGUUGUGCUAACACAAGGCAAUAAGUAUUUUAAGAGGACAAGAUAAAGUUGAGAAUUGCAUGAGAUGCAAUUGGAAAGAGUUUCCUACCUUUGAACUCAUAAGAGUUUGUUGUAUAAACACAAGACUUUUUAUGAUGAAUUAGGAUCUCAACCCUACUAAGAAAAAUUAUAUUUUCACGUUUAUCAUAGGAGAGGGCUAUGAUAUUCGAUAAAAAUAGUAGGAGACAAAUUAGAUUAAAGUCCUUAUCUA